GCAAAACGCGAAGAACCUUACCAGGUCUUGACAUCCCGGUGACCACUAUGGAGACAUAGUUUCCCUUCGGGGGCAACGGUGACAGGUGGUGCAUGGUUGUCGUCAGCUCGUGUCGUGAGAUGUUGGGUUAAGUCCCGCAACGAGCGCAACCCUUAUUCUUAGUUUGCCAUCAUUCAGUUGGGCACUCUAAGGAGACUGCCGGUGAUAAACCGGAGGAAGGUGGGGAGUGACGUCAAAUCAUCAUGCCCCUUACUGACCUGGGCGUACACACGUGCUACAAUGGACGGUACAAACGGUUGCCAACCCGCGAGGGGAGGCUAAUCCGAUAAAACCGUUCUCAGUUCGGAUUGUAGGCUGCAACUCGCCUACAUGAAGCCGGAAUCGCUAGUAAUCGCGGAUCAGCAUGCCGCGGUGAAUACGUUCCCGGGUCUUGUACACACCG
rnacentral:rRNA from 1 species